GGCUCAGGUUAUGAACGCUGGCGGGAUGCUUUACACAUGCAAGUCCAUGAACGGCAGCACGGACUUCGGUCUGGUGGCAGGUAAUGACGGGUGAGUAAUGUAUCGGAACGUGCCUGGCGGGGAUAACCUGCGCGAAGGCGUAGCUAAUACCACCAUACGCCCUUCGGGGAAAGCGGGGACAGGCCGCUCGCACUGUGGAAACGGCCGAUAUCGGAUUAGCUGGUUAAUUGGGGUAUGCGGCUCGCAAAGGCGGCGAUCCGUAGCUGGUUUGAGAGGACGACCAGCCACACCACCGGACUGAGACACACCCAGACUCCUACGGGGAGGCAGCAAUGGGAAUUUUCGGACAAUGGAAACCCUGAUCCAGCCAUCAUGAUGACCGAUGAAGGCCUUCGGGUUGUAAAGCACUUUUGCCGGCAGGAAAGAAACGGCACGGGAUAAUACCCCGUGCAACUGACCAAUACCUGCAGAAUAAACACCUAUUAACUACGUCUGUAUGCGGUAAUACGUAAGUGCGACGUUGAAAUGAUUACUGAGGCGCUACUGCGCCAUGCGCAGGCGGUUCGAAGAAAGAUGUAUUGAAAUCAGAGCUUAACUUUGGAACUGUUACCCCAACUACGGCUCGUCAGAAAGGGAGGUGGAAUUCCGCGUGUAGCAGUGAAAUGCGUAGAUGUGGAGGAACACCGAUAGCGAAAAACAGCCUCCUGGGAUAACGCGACGCUCAUGCACGAAAGCGUGGGGAGCGAAACAGGAUUAAGAUGCCCUGGUAGUCCGCCCUAAACGAUGUCAACUAGCUGUUGGGGCCUUCGGGCCUUGGUAGCGCAGACUAACGCGUGAAGUUGACCGCCUGGGGAAGUACGGUCGCAAGAUUAAAACUCAAAGGAAUUGACGGGGACCCGCACAAGCUGGAUGAUCAGAUUCAAUUCAUUCACAACGCGAAAAACCUUACCUACCCUUGACAUGUCUGGAAUCCCGAAGAGAUUGGGAGUGCUCGCAAGAGAAGCCGGAACACAGGUGCUGCAUAGCUGUCGUCGCUCGUAUCGUGAGAUGUUGAUUAAGUCCACCUGGCGAAGCACAACCCUUGUCAUUAGUUACGAAAGGGCACUCUAUGAGACUGCCGGUAAUAUAAGCCAGCGAGAGGAAAGUGAGGAUGACAUCAAGUCCUCAUGGCCCAUAUAUGGUGGGAAACUACCACGUCAUACAAUGGUCGGGACAGAGGUCGCCAACCCGCAGGGGAACCAAUCCCAGAAACCCGAUCGUAGUCCGGAUCAUGAUCUGCAACUCGACUGCGUGAAGUCGAAUCGCUAGUAAUCGCGGACGGAUCAGCAUGUCGCGGUGAAUACGUUCCCGGGUCUUGUACACCGUCACACCAUGAGGUGGGUUUAAGUAUUAGCCUAACCGUAAGGAGGGCGAUUACCACGGUAGGAUUCUUGGCAAACGUUGAAGUCGUAACCAAGGUAAG
rnacentral:rRNA from 1 species